rnacentral:tRNA from 1 species
GAUAGAAUGGCCGAUUAGGCGAUAAACUGUAAAUUUAUUUAUGAAUUUUGAUUCUUUUAUC